rnacentral:siRNA from 1 species
UUUGGGCCACUUUCUUCUUUCA